rnacentral:rRNA from 1 species
UACGGAGGAUCCAAGCGUUAUCCGGAUUUAUUGGGUUUAAAGGGUGCGUAGGCGGCUUAUUAAGUCAGGGGUGAAAGACGGUGGCUCAACCAUCGCAGUGCCUUUGAUACUGAUGAGCUUGAAUGAACUGGAGGUAGGCGGAAUGUGACAAGUAGCGGUGAAAUGCAUAGAUAUGUCACAGAACACCGAUUGCGAAGGCAGCUUACUAAACUGUAACUGACGCUGAGGCACGAAAGCGUGGGGAGCAAACAGG